rnacentral:sRNA from 1 species
UAGUUGUGACACCCAGGUUCAGGUCCCC